rnacentral:misc_RNA from 1 species
CUCACUUGGUUAAUGCAGAAGGUGAACAUUGUCUCUGCUCAUGAACAACUCCCAAAAUCCCCAGAGCAUAAUACCUUCCACCGCAGGAUGAGCAAAAGCUUCUCGAAGCAUGACCUCCAAAUCAUCCCCCCUAACAUAUUCAUUAAUGGAAGACACGUCAAGCUCUGUAAACCAGAUUGGUAAACCAAGAAUACCCAAUUUAUCAAGAGCAGACCAGACAAUAGGCCCAACUGGACUAUCUAU